CCUACGGGUGGCAGCAGUGAGGAAUAUUGGUCAAUGGGCGCGAGCCUGAACCAGCCAAGUAGCGUGAAGGAUGAAUGCCCUACGGGUUGUAAACCUCUUUUAUAAAGGAAUAAAGUGAGGCACGCGUGCCGUUUUGUAUGUACUUUAUGAAUAAGGAUCGGCUAACUCCGUGCCAGCAGCCGCGGUAAUACGGAGGAUCCGAGCGUUAUCCGGAUUUAUUGGGUUUAAAGGGAGCGUAGAGGGGUUGUUAAGUCAGUUGUGAAAGUUUGCGGCUCAACCGUAAAAUUGCAAUUGAUACUGGCAGCCUUGAGUGCAGUUGAGGUAGGCGGAAUGCGUGGUGUAGCGGUGAAAUGCUUAGAUAUCGCGAAGAACUCCGAUUGCGAAGGCAGCUUACUAUGCUGCCACUGACAUUGAUGCACGAAAGUGUGGGUAUCGAACAGGAUUAGAUACCCCUGUAGUC
rnacentral:rRNA from 1 species